rnacentral:rRNA from 1 species
UACGUAGGGAGCAAGCGUUGUUCGGAAUGACUGGGCGUAAAGGGUGCGUAGGCGGUUGUACAAGUUAGAAGUGAAAUACCCAGGGCUUAACUCGGGUGCUGCUUCUAAAACUGUAUGACUUGAGUGCAGUAGAGGUUAGUGGAAUUCCUAGUGUAGCGGUGGAAUGCGUAGAUAUUAGGAGGAACACCAGAGGCGAAGGCGGCUAACUGGACUGCAACUGACGCUGAGGCACGAAAGUGUGGGGAGCAAACAGG